rnacentral:lncRNA from 1 species
GUCCGUUGCGAAGUAAAAAUUUGUUGAAAAAACACUAAAGUUAUUUCUGUAAUAACAGAUCAGGAAGACUGCCACGAGGUUAACAUUUUAGGAGAAGGGCAUUAAAACAGAAUCCAAAGAGUCCAAUAUUUGAGCAUUGACUGCCAAAGAAGUGCAAAUGAAGCAGCCCAAGCCUCACAGCCCUGAUGGGUAUCUUUGUAAGUAAAACUACUUGCAAACAAGUGACAUUCUGAUUAUAAUUCUAUUUCUUAUUUUUUAUUAAAACCCAAAAAGUUCAUUACUCAGUAUGAAGACUGAAACCACCAGUAAUAAAGAUAAGGGUUCUAAUUUUAGUAUAUAUGAAUUUUAAUAAUAUUUUAAAAAACAAAAGCUACAUUGUGUCGACACAAAAAAUUGUUAGGUCAUGCAGUCUAGUAGUGACUUAGUUGAGCACUUGUAAUUUGAAAAGUCGGUGAAAUGAAGUUCAAGACAUGUAAAACUCUAUAUCAAUCGAAGGCAGUAGAUAUUUGAAGCAGAUUGAAAUUAUGUUAGAGAUGGGUUGUGAAACUAAUUAGAUUACUAGGGAAACUAGACGUUCCAGAUAUAUCUGAAAACAAAAGAGAAGAUUAACCUUUGCCAUUGUAACUAUGUCAGGCACAACACCAUGG